CAGCCGCCGCGGUAAUACGAAGGGGGCUAGCGUUGUUCGGAUUUACUGGGCGUAAAGCGCACGUAGGCGGACUUUUAAGUCGGGGGUGAAAUCCCGGGGCUCAACCCCGGAACUGCCUUUGAUACUGGAAGUCUUGAGUAUGGUAGAGGUGAGUGGAAUUCCGAGUGUAGAGGUGAAAUUCGUAGAUAUUCGGAGGAACACCAGUGGCGAAGGCGGCUCACUGGACCAUUACUGACGCUGAGGUGCGAAAGCGUGGGGAGCAAACAGGAUUAGAUACCCCUGUAGUCCCUGUCUCUUAUAC
rnacentral:rRNA from 1 species